rnacentral:rRNA from 1 species
GACGAACGCUGGCGGCGUGCUUAACACAUGCAAGUCGAACGGAAAGGCCCUGCUUUUGUGGGGUGCUCGAGUGGCGAACGGGUGAGUAACGCGUGAGUAACCUGCCCUUGACUUUGGGAUAACUUCAGGAAACUGGGGCUAAUACCGGAUAGGAGCUCCUGCUGCAUGGUGGGGGUUGGAAAGUUUCGGCGGUUGGGGAUGGACUCGCGGCUUAUCAGCUUGUUGGUGGGGUAGUGGCUUACCAAGCGUUUGACGGGUAGCCGGCCUGAGAGGGUGACCGGCCACCUUGGGACUGAGGUACGGCCCAGACUCCUACGGGAGGCAGCAGUGGGGAAUAUUGCACAAUGGGCGGAAGCCCGAUGCAGCAACGCCGCGUGCGGGAUGACGGCCUUCGGGUUGUAAACCGCUUUCGCCUGUGACGAAGCGUGAGUGACGGUAAUGGGUAAAGAAGCACCGGCUAACUACGUG